ACGAACGCUGGCGGCGUGCUUAACCCCUGCCAGUCGAACGGAAAGGCCCUGCUUGCAGGGUACUCGAGUGGCGAACGGGUGAGUAACACGUGGGUGAUCUGCCCUGCACUUCGGGAUAAGCCUGGGAAACUGGGUCUAAUACCGGAUAGGAGCCAUUUUUAGUGUGAUGGUUGGAAAGUUUUUUCGGUGUAGGAUGAGCUCGCGGCCUAUCAGCUUGUUGGUGGGGUAAUGGCCUGCCAAGGCGGCGACGGGUAGCCGGCCUGAGAGGGUGGACGGCCACAUUGGGACUGAGAUACGGCCCAGACUCCUACGGGAGGCAGCAGUGGGGAAUAUUGCACAAUGGGCGCAAGCCUGAUGCAGCGACGCCGCGUGGGGGAGGACGGCCUUCGGGUUGUAAACUCCUUUCGCUAGGGACGAAGCUUUUUGUGACGGUACCUAGAUAAGAAGCACCGGCUAACUACGUG
rnacentral:rRNA from 1 species